GGGCCCGCACAAGCAGUGGAUUAUGUGGUUUAAUUCGAAGCAACGCGAAGAACCUUACCAGGGCUUGACAUACAACUAACGAAGCAGAGAUGCAUUAGGUGCCCUUCGGGGAAAGUUGAUACAGGUGGUGCAUGGUUGUCGUCAGCUCGUGUUGUGAAAUGUUCGGUUAAGUCCGGCAACGAGCGCAACCCUUAUUGCCAGUUGCUACGCAAGAGCACUCUGGCGAGACUGCCGUUGACAAACGGAGGAAGGUGGGGAUGACGUCAAAUCAUCAUGCCCCUUACGUCCUGGGCUACACACGUAAUACAAUGGCGUUUAACAGAGGGAAGCAAUACAGCAAUGUGGAGCAAAUCCCUAAAAGGCGUACUCAGUUCGGAUUGUGGGCUGCAACUCGCCCGCAUGAAGUCGGAAUUGCUAGUAAUCGCGGAUCAGCAUGCCG
rnacentral:rRNA from 1 species